GGGUUGUGAGGUUAAGUGACUAAGCGUACACGGUGGAUGCCUAGGCAGUCAGAGGCGAUGAAGGGCGUGCUAAUCUGCGAAAAGCGUCGGUAAGGUGAUAUGAACCGUUACAACCGGCGAUACCCGAAUGGGGAAACCCAGUGUGUUUCGACACACUAUCAUGUCAUGAAUACAUAGUGGCAUGAGGCGAACCGGGGGAACUGAAACAUCUAAGUACCCCGAGGAAAAGAAAUCAACCGAGAUUCCCCCAGUAGCGGCGAGCGAACGGGGAGGAGCCCAGAACCUGAAUCGGCUUGUGUGUUAGUGGAAGCGUCUGGAAAGUCGCGCAGCAAAGGGUGAUAGCCCCGUACACUAAAAUGCACAGGUCGUGAGUUCGAUGAGUAGGGCGGGACACGUGACAUCCUGUCUGAAUAUGGGGGGACCAUCCUCCAAGGCUAAAUACUCCUGACUGACCGAUAGUGAACCAGUACCGUGAGGGAAAGGCGAAAAGAACCCCGGCGAGGGGAGUGAAAUAGAACCUGAAACCGUGUACGUACAAGCAGUGGGAGCACCUUCGUGGUGUGACUGCGUACCUUUUGUAUAAUGGGUCAGCGACUUAUAUUUUGUAGCAAGGUUAACCGUAUAGGGGAGCCGUAGGGAAACCGAGUCUUAACUGGGCGAAUAGUUGCAAGGUAUAGACCCGAAACCCGGUGAUCUAGCCAUGGGCAGGUUGAAGGUUGGGUAACACUAACUGGAGGACCGAACCGACUAAUGUUGAAAAAUUAGCGGAUGACUUGUGGCUGGGGGUGAAAGGCCAAUCAAACCGGGAGAUAGCUGGUUCUCCCCGAAAGCUAUUUAGGUAGCGCCUCGUGAACUCAUCUUCGGGGGUAGAGCACUGUUUCGGCUAGGGGGCCAUCCCGGCUUACCAAACCGAUGCAAACUCCGAAUACCGAAGAAUGUUAUCACGGGAGACACACGGCGGGUGCUAACGUCCGUCGUGAAGAGGGAAACAACCCAGACCGCCAGCUAAGGUCCCAAAGUCAUGGUUAAGUGGGAAACGAUGUGGGAAGGCACAGACAGCCAGGAUGUUGGCUUAGAAGCAGCCAUCAUUUAAAGAAAGCGUAAUAGCUCACUGGUCGAGUCGGCCUGCGCGGAAGAUGUAACGGGGCUAAACCAUGCACCGAAGCUGCGGCAGCGACGCUUAGGCGUUGUUGGGUAGGGGAGCGUUCUGUAAGCCGUUGAAGGUGGCCUGUGAGGGUUGCUGGAGGUAUCAGAAGUGCGAAUGCUGACAUAAGUAACGAUAAAGCGGGUGAAAAGCCCGCUCGCCGGAAGACCAAGGGUUCCUGUCCAACGUUA
rnacentral:rRNA from 1 species